rnacentral:rRNA from 1 species
GAUGAACGCUGGCUACAGGCUUAACACAUGCAAGUCGAGGGGAAACGACGGGGAAGCUUGCUUCCCCGGGCGUCGACCGGCGCACGGGUGAGUAACGCGUAUCCAACCUGCCUCUGACUGAGGGAUAACCCGUCGAAAGUCGGCCUAAUACCUCAUGGCAUCGUCUGCGGGCAUCCAACGACGAUUAAAGAUUUCAUCGGUCAGGGAUGGGGAUGCGUCUGAUUAGCUUGUUGGCGGGGUAACGGCCCACCAAGGCUACGAUCAGUAGGGGUUCUGAGAGGAAGGUCCCCCACAUUGGAACUGAGACACGGUCCAAACUCCUACGGGAGGCAGCAGUGAGGAAUAUUGGUCAAUGGGCGGGAGCCUGAACCAGCCAAGUAGCGUGCAGGAUGACAGCCCUAUGGGUUGUAAACUGCUUUUAUGCGGGGAUAAAGUGAGGGACGUGUCCUUCAUUGCAGGUACCGCAUGAAUAAGGACCGGCUAAUUCCGUG